UAGGGAAUAUUGCAAAAUGGGCGAAAGCCCGAUGCAGCAACGCCGCGUGGGCGAUGAAGGCCUUCGGGUCGUAAAGCCCUUUUUGAGGGGAUGAGGAAGGACAGUCCCCUCAGAAUAAGCCUCGGCUAACUACGUGCCAGCAGCCGCGGUAAAACGUAGGAGGCGAGCGUUAUCCGGAUUUACUGGGCGUAAAGCGCGUGCAGGCGGAUUGGAGGGUUGGAUGUGAAAGCUCCCGGCUUAACUGGGAGAGGUCGUUCAAGACUUCCAGUCUUGAGUGCAGUAGAGGGGAGUGGAAUACCGGGGGUAGUGGUGAAAUGCGUAGAUAUCCGGAGGAACACCAGUGGCGAAAGCGGCUUCCUGGACUGGAACUGACGCUCAGACGCGAAAGCUAGGGUAGCAAACG
rnacentral:rRNA from 1 species